GAGUUUGAUCGUGGCUCAGAUUGAACGCUGGCGGCAUGCCUUACACAUGCAAGUCGAACGGCAGCGCGGGUUUCGGCCUGGCGGCGAGUGGCGAACGGGUGAGUAAUGUAUCGGAACGUGCCCUAGAGUGGGGGAUAACUAGUCGAAAGACUGGCUAAUACCGCAUACGAUCUAUGGAUGAAAGCGGGGGAUCGCAAGACCUCGUGCUCAUGGAGCGGCCGAUAUCUGAUUAGCUAGUUGGUGGGGUAAAGGCCCACCAAGGCGACGAUCAGUAGCUGGUCUGAGAGGACGACCAGCCACACUGGGACUGAGACACGGCCCAGACUCCUACGGGAGGCAGCAGUGGGGAAUUUUGGACAAUGGGGGCAACCCUGAUCCAGCAAUGCCGCGUGUGUGAAGAAGGCCUGCGGGUUGUAAAGCCCUUUCGGUUGGGAGAAAGUUGCGUUCUAACACAGCGCGACCUUGACGUAACCAACUAAAGAAGCACCGGCUAACUCUGUGCCAGCCGCCGCC
rnacentral:rRNA from 1 species